rnacentral:rRNA from 1 species
AACGAACGCUGGCGGCAGGCCUAACACAUGCAAGUCGAACGCCGUAGCAAUACGGAGUGGCAGACGGGUGAGUAACGCGUGGGAACAUACCCCCUCGGUUCGGGAAUAACUCAGGGAAACUUGAGCUAAUACCGGAUACGUCCGAUGUUUUAAUCGACCUUGGAGAAAGAUUUAUCGCCGGAGGAUUGGCCCGCGUCUGAUUAGCUUGUUGGUGAGGUAAUGGCUCACCAAGGCGACGAUCAGUAGCUGGUCUGAGAGGAUGAUCAGCCACAUUGGGACUGAGACACGGCCCAAACUCCUACGGGAGGCAGCAGUGGGGAAUAUUGGACAAUGGGCGAAAGCCUGAUCCAGCCAUGCCGCGUGAGUGAUGAAGGCC